rnacentral:rRNA from 1 species
UGCUUGGGAAUAUGCCUUCAGGUGGGGGACAACAGUUGGAAACGACUGCUAAUACCGCAUAACGUGCUUUUUGUGGUGAAAAGUACCAAAGGGGGGGGCUCUUCGGACCUCUUGCCUAAAGAUUAGCCCAAGUGAGAUUAGCUAGUUGGUGAGGUAAUGGCUCACCAAGGCGACGAUCUCUAGCUGGUUUGAGAGGAUGAUCAGCCACACUGGGACUGAGACACGGCCCAG